GAGGAGCCACUCCCUCUCCAUGAUAUCCUGAUGCAAAUCUUCAGUGUGUGCAGUGUACUUCUGUCCUGCUGACUGCUCUUGUACUUUGUGUGGAGCAUCAGAGGUCACAUCUCCAGCCUCAGGAUGAUGAACACACUCACUCUUCUGCUGGUUGCUCUCUCUCUGCCCUGUUGUACAGGUCAGAGUAUGGAGUCCAUUCCUUCCAGUUCAGUAGUGAAAAAGCCUGGUGAGACUCUCAGUCUCUCCUGCAGGGGAUCUGGCUUCACAUUUAGCUGCUAUGCUAUGAGCUGGAUCAGACAACCUGCAGGAAAAGGACUGGAAUGGAUCGGGAGAGGCUUCUCCGAUGCCAGCAAAAACACUUAUGCCAGCAGUGUAAGAGGCCGUGCAGAAGUCAGUAGAGAUGACAGCAACAGCAUGGUGUAUCUGAGACUGUCCAACUUAAAGCCAGAGGAAGAAGCAGAGAGGCUGUACAAAAACUCCACAGACAUUUUUUUCACAAAGACCUACAGGUGGCAGUCGAAGAUAAGACUUGGUACAACACAAACUAAGACACUAUGAAAGACACAGCAGAUGUUGUGGUUUGUUACAUCCUGUUUUUCAAUGUAAUUGUUAAUAAUGUUCCCAUUAUUGAUUUUUAACAGUGCUGAGAAUAUAUUUGGACAAUAUAUCCAGGAUAUGGAUGGUUAAACAAAUGCUGCCAAAGAGAAUGAUAAAUACCUCUAAUCUGAAUAUAAAUAAAAGUUACAGUUGAAUAACUUGAAAAGAAUCUGCAUUAUUAAAAAUAUAUAUGAUCAUGAU